UACGUAGGGUGCAAGCGUUAAUCGGAAUUACUGGGCGUAAAGCGCACGCAGGUGGCUGAGUCAGUCGAUUGUGAAAGCCCUGGGCUUAACCUAGGAAUUGCAGUCGAUACUACUCGGCUAGAGUAUGGGAGAGGGCAGUGGAAUUCCCGGUGUAGCGGUGAAAUGCGUAGAUAUCGGGAGGAACAUCAGUGGCGAAGGCGGCUGCCUGGCCCAAUACUGACACUCAGGUGCGACAGCGUGGGGAGCAAACAGG
rnacentral:rRNA from 1 species